GCUGACGAUCCUAUCCUUAUAUACCCAUUUCGUCGCACAAUGGUUUCCGACCGGCUUUCCAGCCAUAAUUGUUGACAUAUAUAUUAUGGUGGUGAGGACGGUGUGUGGGGUGCCGCUGUGAGACUGUGAACAUCUUGAACCUGAACCAACCCAACCUUCGAAUCGGUUUUUUCUUUCUCCACAACGUUUUUUUAUCUUUUUAAAAAAUUAUUUCAUCACUGCCUUUUAUUUUUUGGAUUUGGGUGUUACCCAGGAAAAGAAAAAGAAAAUUUAGGCCAGGAAAAGGGGGGGAAAAGGUUGAGAAUGCCUCCAAAUCAGAAAAUAUAUGCUGGCAAAUUGGAAAUUGUAUAGGGCCCAGAUGUUUCUUGCAUAAUUAAAUAAUAUAGACCUGAAAUCAGUUGAUGCUAACAGU
rnacentral:misc_RNA from 1 species